rnacentral:ncRNA from 1 species
GUCUUCGAGGGGCGCUGCAACGGGACGCAUUGGCGUACUUGCCAGGCUCGAUGAGGUGGCUUACUACCGUGCAACGGCGCCCGUUCAUC